rnacentral:rRNA from 1 species
CCCUUAGAGUUUGAUCCUGGCUCAGAUUGAACGCUGGCGGCAUGCCUAACACAUGCAAGUCGAGCGGUAACAGGCCCUUCGGGGUGCUGACGAGCGGCGGACGGGUGAGUAACGCGUGGGAAUCUGCCCUUCGGUGGGGGAUAGCCCGGGGAAACUCGGAUUAAUACCGCAUACGCCCUACGGGGCAAAGUGGCCCUCUGAUUCAAGGUCACGCCGAGGGAUGAGCCCGCGUCCGAUUAGCUAGUUGGUGGGGUAAAGGCCUACCAAGGCGACGAUCGGUAGCUGGUUUGAGAGGAUGAUCAGCCACACUGGGACUGAGACACGGCCCAGACUCCUACGGGAGGCAGCAGUGGGGAAUAUUGGACAAUGGGCGAAAGCCUGAUCCAGCAAUGCCGCGUGUGUGAAGAAGGCCUGCGGGUUGUAAAGCACUUUCAGCAGGGAGGAAAAGCUUACGGUUAAUAGCCGUGGGUCUUGACGUUACCUGCAGAAGAAGCACCGGCUAACUCCGUGCCAGCAGCCGCGGUAAUACG